GAUGAACGCUGGCGGCGUGCCUAAUACAUGCAAGUCGAGCGAACAGACGAGGAGCUUGCUCCUCUGACGUUAGCGGCGGACGGGUGAGUAACACGUGGAUAACCCACCUAUAAGACUGGGAUAACUUCGGGAAACCGGAGCUAAUACCGGAUAAUAUAUUGAACCGCAUGGUUCAAUAGUGAAAGACGGUUUUGCUGUCACUUAUAGAUGGAUCCGCGCCGCAUUAGCUAGUUGGUAAGGUAACGGCUUACCAAGGCGACGAUGCGUAGCCGACCUGAGAGGGUGAUCGGCCACACUGGAACUGAGACACGGUCCAGACUCCUACGGGAGGCAGCAGUAGGGAAUCUUCCGCAAAGGGCGAAAGCCUAACGGAGCAACGCCGCGUGAGUGAUGAAGGUCUUCGGAUCGUAAAACUCUGUUAUUAGGGAAGAACAAAUGUGUAAGUAACUAUGCACGUCUUGACGGUACCUAAUCAGAAAGCCACGGCUAACUACGUG
rnacentral:rRNA from 1 species